rnacentral:rRNA from 1 species
AUUGAACGCUGGCGGCAGGCCUAACACAUGCAAGUCGGGCGGGCGGCGGACGGGUGAGUAAUGUAUGGGGAUCUGCCUGAUGGAGGGGGAUAACUAGUGAAAACGGUAGCUAAUACCGCAAAACGUCAUAUGAACCGAUAUGGGAUUAGCUAGUAGGGGAGGUAACGGCGCAACAAGGCGACGAUCCCUAGCUGGUCUGAGAGGAUGAUCAGCCACACUGGGACUGAGACACGGCCCAGACUCCUACGGGAGGCAGCAGUGGGGAAUAUUGCACAAUGGGCGCAAGCCUGAUGCAGCCAUGCCGCGUGGAUGAAGAAGGCCUUCGGGUUGUAAAGUACUUUCAGCGAGGAGGCGUUACUCGCAGAAGAAGCACCGGCUAACUCCGUGCCAGCAGCCGCGGUAAUAC